UUCUCUCCUCUUUCUUCUUUUUUAUUCUUCUCUCUUCUCUUUCUUCUUUCUUCUUUCUUCUUUCUUCUUACUUCUUCUUCUUUCUUUCCCCGUCUCUUCUGUCUCUCAUCUUCUUCUUGAAAAAUAGCAACCUGUAAAGUGCUUCUCUCUGCUCUCUUCCCAGAAUCUGAAUUAAACUCGGCCUUGGAUCUCUCUUUUACUUCAAAGGUUGCAGAUCCGAGGUUGCUUCUUCCUUCACCACAAUCACUCUUCCAUCACUGUGUGUGGUAUGGAGACUGGAGAGACCCAUAACCAUGUGGGUCGAAAAGUU